AUCUAAACCACAACCUAACAACAAAAUCUAUCAUAUAAUUCAUAAAAUUCUUCAUCCUAACAUAAAUCCAACAUUCAAAACCUAAAAUUCACAAUUUCACAAUCAAAAAGUAACAUAAGUCAAAUGAGAAAAGGAAAGGGAUGACUUACAUAAUUUGUGAGGUGGAUUUGAGGAGUUUAAGGUUUAGAAUCGCUGGAUUAGAGAGAGAGAAUUUGAGAGAAUUUGUGUGGGUUGAGAGAGAGAGAGGAGAAAUGAGGAAGAAGAAGGGGCUUACGUUUUUAUAUUAAAACUUCUGACAGACUGUGUUCAUCUGAAUUUUUUAUUUUGGUUCUUCCCGAAAAAUUAGGCGGGUUUUUUCCCGGGCAUAUUUCAAUUUCCGACGAAUAUACCAUUUUCGUCGAAAAUUCGUCGGAAUAUAUCAUUUUCGUCGGAAAUUCGUUGGAAAUAUUUCAUUUUCGUAGGAAAUUUCCGACGAAUUACGUAUUGGGGGUUCGAAUUUUUGACGAAUUUCCUACGAAUUUUUUUCUACGAAAAUUUCCUACGAAAUUUCCUGGGAAAUUGCUGACGAAUUUCCUAGAAAAUUUCGUCAGAAAUUUGUCGGAAAUUUGUCAGAAAUUUCUAAUGAAUUUCCGACGAAAACAUAAACCCCAAAUCUAUACCAUAAAUCAUUUAAUCUUCCUCGGGAGUCGUCGGUAUUUCGUCGAUUAUUUAUGACGAAAGAAUGUUCGUCGGAAAUUCCCAGGAUAUUUCCGACGAAAUACCGACGAGUGGUAAAAUUUCAUAUUUCUCGUAAAUCCGUCAGAAUUUCGUCAGAAAUUUCCAACGAAUACUUCUUCCGUCAGAAAUUCUGCCAGAAAUGACUAUGUUUUCGAAGUAGCAGUAGCACUAUAAAGAGUAGACUUAGCAAGCAAAUCAGCUGAGAAGUUCAACAGGGUAGAAAAAAUGAGAUAGAUGUUCGAUGUGCUGGAGGAUCCCAUAGAGGUCAGCCAGAGGAGACUUUUAAGAAAUUGCUACUAAGAGCGAAUGGCAAUCUGUGUUGAAACAAAUUCUUAAGUAGUCCCAUGUUUUGGCGGUAAGUACUGCACAAAGUAGUGCUAGAGCUUCGGCGAUGAGAGCAAUGAGACUUGUCUUUCCACUCGAGAAACCUGUUGGAUGAUUUUCCCUUCUGUAUUUUUAAAAAUAUAUCCAAAUGCUGCUGUGUUGCUUUCCUUCUUCCAUGCUGCAUCUGCAAAGCAGAGUACUUAAUCAUCAAAGUUGGAUAUGAUCAAUGACUUACUGCAUUGGUGGGCCGGUGUAGGCAGCAGGGGUUGUGCCAUAUUCCAUUCCUGUUCAUUCCAUAUGGCUUUGGACAGUGUUUCCUCCGGUGAAACUAGCCUAUCUUCAAAUAUCAGUUAGUUUCUUCCUGUCCAUAAUCCCCAGUAUAUCCAAAGAAAGAUAUCAGAGAUAAUGCCAUUAGGGGGCAGGCAUGUUACCUUUUUACAGAUAUUUAGUGCAUGUUUAUUGGAGUAUUUAAGUGUGGCUCUUAGUGUAAUAAGUAAUUAAAUUAAAAAGAAAAUAGCCAUUUACUUAAGAGACGUGUCUUGAUUAAGGGCUAGAAGAAACGUUUCUUGUGGGAUAGGUGUUUCUUUCUCUCUUCGACGAAGCUUUUAUCGGUAUCUUCUGCCUUCCAUGGCCAGUGAAAGCAGCAGAAUUGGAUUGUUUACGAACGCGGAGGUGACCACGAGCGGAAGACCAGUGCUCCGCCGCAAUGAAGUCGAGUGCUUCCUCCUCUCCUCUGUCGACCUAGAUUCCGAAGACGAUCCACAGCGAUUCACCUCCCUGAGGUACUAGAAAACCUCGCCGUUCUGAGUUAUCAAUCCUCGCCGAACUUUGUUACCAGAAUUUCCGCCUCCGUUUCUCCCAGGUGAUCCCGACUCGAACCUAAGUCUCCGAUUGCCUAUUUCAUAUCUCAUUUCACGCAGUCUUCUUAUCGCUUUGAGAGGAUCAAUCUGAUUAGGUUUUAAUCCGUGAUCCCGUCUCUUAACUCUUGUUAUUGAUCCAUCUUUGGCAUUCAUAUUGAGAUUGCGUUUAUGUAUUAUGUUUGUGAUCAUUCAAGAAGCUAUCACACUGAUGAAAAAACGAGAUUCAUUCAAGUCUUCAACUUUUGUAGUUAGUUUUGAUUCUACAGAGCUUGCAUCCUGCGUUUUAUCUGACUGAUGACGCUUGAUGAUUAUAAGGUGGAAGAAACUAAGUAUAAUUGGUGAUCUUCAGUUUCAGCAACAGUUAAAGGUGGAGCUUAUGGUUUCAUCUCGGUGGUGUUGUGGAGUGGGUUAUAUCAGUUUCAGGUCUGUAGUUCUGAAAGUAGACAAGACAAACCUACCUCAUGGAUCUGCAACAAUAGGUAGUGUAGCUUCUUCGUCAAAAGUUGUUUAUCCAGAUACAGCUCAGAUGAUCGUUUAUGACCCAACAAAGAAAUCAGGUAGCAUAUAAUACUUCCAAGGUAAAGUGGGUGGCAGAGUCGAUGAAAGUGGGUGGCAGAGUCGAUUCAUCAAGUAGCAUAUAAUACUUCCAAGGCAAAGUGGGUGGCAGAGUCGAUGAAAGAUGAGGAGCCUUUGCGUCUAAACACAUUUUUCUUAUCACACAAGCAGCAUCGUCGUAAUACAUUAAUAGUAUGAGAGGAGAGAUUUGUGAAUAAUACUUUAAAUAAUGAAAAUAGAAUGUUUGUAUUUUAAGACCUUGGGUGUCUCAUAUAUAUAUACAGUCGAUUUAUUUCUCA